rnacentral:rRNA from 1 species
CCUACGGGAGGCUGCAGUGGGGAAUAUUGGACAAUGGGGGGAACCCUGAUCCAGCCAUGCCGCGUGUGUGAAGAAGGCCCUCGGGUUGUAAAGCACUUUCAGUGAGGAAGAACGCCUGGUGGUUAAUACCCAUCAGGAAAGACAUCACUCACAGAAGAAGCACCGGCUAACUCCGUGCCAGCAGCCGCGGCAAUACGGAGGGUGCGAGCGUUAAUCGGAAUUACUGGGCGUAAAGCGCGCGUAGGUGGCUUGAUAAGCCGGUUGUGAAAGCCCCGGGCUCAACCUGGGAACGGCAUCCGGAACUGUCAAGCUAGAGUGCAGGAGAGGAAGGUAGAAUUCCCGGUGUAGCGGUGAAAUGCGUAGAGAUCGGGAGGAAUACCAGUGGCGAAGGCGGCCUUCUGGACUGACACUGACACUGAGGUGCGAAAGCGUGGGUAGCAAACAGGAUUAGAUACCCCAGUAGUC